rnacentral:rRNA from 1 species
CUUGCUUUCUUUGCUGGCGACCGGCGCACGGGUGAGUAACACGUAUCCAACCUGCCCUUUACUCGGGGAUAGCCUUUCGAAAGAAAGAUUAAUACCCGAUAGCAUAAUGAUUCCGCAUGGUUUCAUUAUUAAAGGAUUCCGGUAAAGGAUGGGGAUGCGUUCCAUUAGGUUGUUGGUGGGGUAACGGCCCACCAAGCCUUCGAUGGAUAGGGGUUCUGAGAGGAAGGUCCCCCACAUUGGAACUGAGACACGGCCCAA